UACGGAGGAUGCGAGCGUUAUCCGGAUUUAUUGGGUUUAAAGGGUGCGUAGGCGGACGCUUAAGUCAGCGGUAAAAUUGCGGGGCUCAACCUCGUCGAGCCGUUGAAACUGGGUGUCUUGAGUGGGCGAGAAGUACGCGGAAUGCGUGGUGUAGCGGUGAAAUGCAUAGAUAUCACGCAGAACUCCGAUUGCGAAGGCAGCGUACCGGCGCCCAACUGACGCUGAAGCACGAAGGCGUGGGUACCGAACAGG
rnacentral:rRNA from 1 species